AUUGUACUCCCUCCGUCCCAAAAUUCUUGUCUUAGAUUUGUCUAAAUACGGAUGUAUCAAGUCACAUUUUAGUAUUAGAUACAUCCGUAUCUAGACAAAUCUAAGACAAGAAUUUUGGGACGGAGGGAGUACUAU
rnacentral:pre_miRNA from 1 species